rnacentral:rRNA from 1 species
UACGUAGGUGGCAAGCGUUGUCCGGAUUUACUGGGCGUAAAGGAUGCGUAGGCGGAUGUUUAAGUGAGAUGUGAAAUACCCGAGCUCAACUUGGGUGCUGCAUUUCAAACUGGAUAUCUAGAGUGCAGGAGAGGAAAGCGGAAUUCCUAGUGUAGCGGUGAAAUGCGUAGAGAUUAGGAAGAACACCAGUGGCGAAAGGCGGCUUUCUGGACUGUAACUG